AUUGAACGCUGGCGGCAGGCCUAACACAUGCAAGUCGAGCGAGCGGCGGACGGGUGAGUAAUGUCGGGGAAACUGCCUGAUGGAGGGGGAUAACUACUGGAAACGGUAGAUAAUACCGCAUACCAUCAGAAGUGCCCAGAUGGGAUUAGCUAGUAGGGGGGGUAAGGGCUCACCUAGGCGACGAUCCCUAGCGGGUCUGAGGGGAUGACCAGCCACACUGGAACUGAGACACGGUCCAGACUCCUACGGGACGCAGCAGUGGGGAAUAUUGCACAAUGGGCGCAAGCCUGAUGCAGCCAUGCCGGUUGUAUGAAGAAGGCCUUCGGGUUGUAAAGUACUUUCAGCGGGGAGGCGUUACCCGCAGAAGAAGCACCGGCUAACUCCGUGCCAGCAGCCGCGGUAAUAC
rnacentral:rRNA from 1 species